rnacentral:lncRNA from 1 species
UUGAAGUUUCAUAUUUUUUAUUGGCUUCUCAUACAUACUCCACCAACCCCUGUUUUCUGUUUUCAGUUUCCACCACCUAACUCACCGACCACAAGGAACCCACGAACCAGUCUUUUUUACUUUUUUUUAUUCACAUAUACGUAUCCUUCCAGUCUUUUUUACUUUUUUUUAUUCACAUAUACGUACCUUUGUCUUUUUUCAAUUUUCGCAGUGAUUCAUUGUUUCAAAGCUUCAAACUUUGGCAUUCUUUAGUGUUUCUAUUUCUUUGGAAAAGGUCUUUCUGUGUAGCAUCAAUGGA